UCUAGUAAGUUAAGCUUGAUAGAUUCUUGAUUUAUGCAGAAUGGGAAGAGAAUUUCCCACUGUCCUUAAUUUCAUAAAGCUUUUGUGAAUGCAUGUUCUGACCAUGUCCCGAUUGGGGCGCGAACUGAUUGCUUUGUAAAUACAUGCAGAUUUACUGGGGCUGCAGCUUUGAAAUAAUAUCCUUCUUUCAUCAUUUUUGGUGUUAAGAAGCAUGCUUGAAUCUUGCAGCUCAAUUGUUGGUA
rnacentral:lncRNA from 1 species